UACGAAGGGGGCUAGCGUUGUUCGGAAUUACUGGGCGUAAAGCGUGCGCAGGCGGCUUCUCAAGUCAGGGGUGAAAGCCCAGAGCUCAACUCUGGAAUUGCCUUUGAGACUGAGUGGCUUGAGUACGAGAGAGGUGAGUGGAAUUCCCAGUGUAGAGGUGAAAUUCGUAGAUAUUGGGAAGAACACCGGUGGCAAAGGCGGCUCACUGGCUCGUAACUGACGCUCAUGCACGACAGCGUGGGGAUCAAACAGG
rnacentral:rRNA from 1 species